CGAACGGCAGCACGGGAGCUUGCUCCUGGUGGCGAGUGGCGAACGGGUGAGUAAUACAUCGGAACGUACCCUGAAGUGGGGGAUAACGUAGCGAAAGUUACGCUAAUACCGCAUAUUCUGUGAGCAGGAAAGAGGGGGAUCGCAAGACCUCUUGCUUUAGGAGCGGCCGAUGUCGGAUUAGCUAGUUGGUGAGGUAAAGGCUCACCAAGGCGACGAUCCGUAGCGGGGUCUGAGAGGAUGAUCCGCCACACUGGGACUGAGACACGGCCCAGACUCCUACGGGAGGCAGCAGUGGGGAAUUUUGGACAAUGGGCGCAAGCCUGAUCCGGCCAUGCCGCGUGAGUGAAGAAGGCCUUCGGGUUGUAAAGCUCUUUCGGUGGGGAAGAAAUUGCUUCGGUUAAUACCUGGAGUAGAUGACGGUACCCGCAUAAGAAGCACCGGCUAACUACGUG
rnacentral:rRNA from 1 species